GGUUUGUGGCUGCCCGGAUCCCCACCGUGUGGCAGCGCUGAGCCAGGCAGGCAGGGGCUGUGCGGCUGCAGCUGGUUGCGGGUUUGAAGAAGAGCUCUUGGAAACUUGAGAGCAGUAUGAGAAGUUUCUGCAAGGUGAGUCCACAUGAAACCUCAAGAAAAGCAUGACCAGACUUCUCUUCACGUCUUCUCUGAGACUAAAUAAAGACUUUGAUAAUCGUAUGGGACUUUAUUUCAACACACCAGAGAGGGGAAUAAAACCGAGAGCUGAGAAGAGCUGCAGAGAUUGAUUAAUCUUUUUGUUUUCCCAUACAUGGACAGACACUGUUGAAAACUGAAUGUGUUUCCCCUUGGAGAGCUUUCCAGGUUUCUGGAUUGUCUGUGUGCCACCUGGUCUCACAAACUUUCCCUGGGCUUUGGUUACUUGAAUAAACAUGUACUAAAACUUACAUUGAAUGUCCUGAUUUACCUGAAGAUACAGGUUAUAAGAACUGAGAACCUGUUAUUGCUUCAACUGUGCUUUCAAUAUUGAAUGUGAUUUUUAGAUGCAUUUAGAAUUAGGCACUUAGUGGAUGUGUGUAGUGUGUUUAUCUCCACUGUAAUUUGAUUUUGGCAUAAAAGCUGAUGUACACAGUCC